UAGGAAUUGUUCUGCGUGUCCAUAUAUUUGAGCAUUGCUCUCUUGUUUGAUUGAUGAAAGUAUUUGGGGGAGGAACAGAGGUGCUGUUUACUGAGUUGGGGGGAUUGAAUCGAUAAAAAUAUUUUAUCCACUGCGUAGAAAUUAUUCCUACCAUUAUUCAUUUUUUAAAAUGGAAGCUUUCAUUUCUGCAAUCCCGAAUGAAAAGCGAUGGAUUUUUGAACAAACUAUGAAUGAUAUCAACGAUCAUUUUGACGGAGUUCUCAGGUUCAAAGAAACGGAAUGGAAGGGACAUCGUUUUCUUCCUGGAUUUGAAGCAGAAACUGCAAAAUAUGCAUACGAAAAACUGGAAGUUGAACAAAAUUCAGUUUUCCUCGCAUCUUUCCCAAAGACGGGCGUAAAUUGGACAUCGGCGAUCGUAAGUCAAUUAUUAUAUGGACCGAAUGGACUAGGGAUGUUUCCACCAUUGGAAAAAAUGGAAUUAGUCAAAGCGUCGAAAUUUCAGUUAUUGGAAUAUCUGCCUGUUCAUCCUAAAUGUUUUCAAACUCAUUUACCAGAAAAUUUGGUGAACGUCGCAAAAAUAAAAAAGAGUGGUGGGAAGAUCAUUGUCAUUCUACGCAAUCCUAAAGAUCAAGCUGUUUCCUGGUAUCAUUUUUGCAGCAAAAGUGGACCUUUCGACAACGCCCGAUACGCAUUCAGUUUGGAUUGGCCACAAUUUUCCUCGGACUAUAUUCAGGGAAAACAAUUAACAUUCAUGAAAGAUGGAGAUUGUUAUGCUGAACACAUACUGGGAUGGUAUAAACAUAAGGACGAAGAUAAUGUCAUGUUCAUUUAUUAUGAAGAUAUGAAACGAGUAAGCGUGUUAUCAUCAACAGACAACGACAUACAUGAGACACGAAACAAGAAAUUAGACGUUUGGCAAAAUUUUUGAACGUUGAAGUUGAUGAUAAGAGAGUGGAGGAAAUAGAAAAUGCGACUACGUUUAGUGUCAUGAAACAGACAUCUCAUCCAAAUCUUUCAAAAAUAAAUCUAUUCAGAAAAGGGGAGGUCGGAAACUGGAAGCAGCUGAUGACUGUCGCACAAUCGGAAUUGAUGGACAAAUUGAUUGAGAAUAAAUUGGGGCAUACUGACAUCAAAUUUGUUUACGAGCUAAAAUAAUAAAUUCGCACUUUCUAAAAUUUGCGAAUAUUUCUAUGUAUCUUAACAUUACUAUCAUUUUAUUAUUUACAAAAUAUUAAACGCUUUUGUGUAUCCACAAUCAUCUAAAAUUAUUUAGAUUUAUUCUUUCAAUUUUCAUUUUCAAUUUCAAUUUUAAUAUACCAACAUUUAUUUUCACCUCAACAAAUGUCAAUAUUGUUUUUUCAUUGUAUUCUUAUCACAGUCUGACAGUAUCAAAUCAUUUAUAUUUGUUCCUAAUAUUUUUCUUGUUAGCUUACAAGCAGUACGGUACUGGUACUGAGAUAACGCGUCAGGACACCAAUGGUGAAUAUUUAUUUCAACAUCCAGCGUGCUAAUUUCACUUUAUUUAAUUACCUGAUCGGUGUCCAUUGCUAUAUCGCUUCGUACUGUCAUAGCACAACCACGUUGUGGUCAGGUCACCUUCAAAAUUCCCCAGUUAUUCUACAGAACAACAUUUCGCUACAGCUAGGUCUAUGCAAACGGGAAAUCCCCCGUUAUUCGCUGCUAUUAUGGCACAUUUAAUGCACGGUAAUUUUUAGUAAUAAUAUACAACAAUUGCAAUUAGUUAGCUCUUUUGUAAAAUUUAUAUGGUAUCUAUUCGUUGAAACUCUUUCCCCGAUCUGUCAAACUAGGUGUUAGAACCUUGGGUGUCGCAGCUCGAUAACCAGUUUUGGUUCCCCGCGGCUUCCCUUCCCCAGUAAUUUAAAUAUCAUUUUUUCUAUA